AGUGAACGCUGGCGGCAGGCCUAACACAUGCAAGUCGAGCGGCAGCACGGGUAGCAAUACCUGGUGGCGAGCGGCGGACGGGUGAGGAAUACAUCGGAAUCUGCCUCGUCGUGGGGGAUAACGUAGGGAAACUUACGCUAAUACCGCAUACGACCGAGAGGUGAAAGCGGGGGAUCGCAAGACCUCGCGCGAUGAGAUGA
rnacentral:rRNA from 1 species